GGAAGCGAGGGCCAAGACACGUGAUAUGGCAGGCCGCCCGAGGCGGCCUGCCCAACGAAGACGCUCGUAGGGUCCUUUGGGCACUGUCGAUCGGACGUGGGUUCGAUUCCCACCGCCUCCACCA
rnacentral:tRNA from 1 species